AACGCGAAGAACCUUACCUGGGCUCGAACGGCUUUGGAACAGCGGUAGAAAUACUGCCUUCCCGCAAGGGACCGGAGUCGAGGUGCUGCAUGGCUGUCGUCAGCUCGUGUCGUGAGAUGUUGGGUUAAGUCCCGCAACGAGCGCAACCCUUGUCCUGUGUUGCCACUCCGUAAGGAAGCACUCGCAGGAGACCGCCAGCGAUAAGCUGGAGGAAGGUGGGGAUGAUGUCAAGUCAUCAUGGCCUUUAUGUCCAGGGCUACACACGUGCUACAAUGGGCGGUACAAAGCGCUGCAAACCCGCGAGGGGGAGCUAAUCGCAAAAAACCGUUCUCAGUUCGGAUCGCAGGCUGCAACUCGCCUGCGUGAAGCUGGAAUCGCUAGUAAUGCCGUAUCAGAAUGAUGGCGUGAAUACGUUCCCGGGCCUUGUACACACCGGCUAC
rnacentral:rRNA from 1 species